rnacentral:rRNA from 1 species
UAAGGAAUAUUGGACAAUGCCCGCAAGGGUGAUCCAGCCAUCCCGCGUGCAGGAAGAAUGCCCUAUGGGUUGUAAACUGCUUUUGUAAGGGAAGAAACCCCCUGAUGCGUUAGGGGUUGACGGUACCUUAAGAAUAAGCACCGGCUAACUCCGUGCCAGCAGCCGCGGUAAUACGGAGGGUGCAAGCGUUAUCCGGAAUCACUGGGUUUAAAGGGUGCGUAGGCGGCUAAAUAAGUCAGAGGUGAAAUGCUACGGCUUAACUGUGGAAUUGCCUUUGAAACUAUAUAGCUAGAAUAGAGUUGAGGUUGGCGGAAUGUGACAUGUAGCGGUGAAAUGCAUAGAUAUGUCAUAGAACAUCGAUUGCGAAGGCAGCUAACUGGGCUUUUAUUGACGCUGAGGCACGAAAGCGUGGGGAUCAAACAGG